rnacentral:rRNA from 1 species
GACAGAGGAGCCAAGCGUUGUCCGGAUUGACUGGGCGUAAGGCGCACGCAGGCGGCCCGGCGCGUGGGGUGUGAAAGCUGGCGGCUUAACUGCCAGACGCCAUCCCAUACGGCUGGGCUCGAGCCCUGCAGAGGUCCAUGGAAUUGCCGGUGUAGUGGUGAAAUGCGUAGAGAUCGGCAGGAACACCCAGGGGGAAACCAGUGGACUGGGCAGGAGCUGACGCUCAGGUGCGAAAGCGUGGGGAGCGAACCGG